GCGUGAUUAGCUCAACGGUAGAGCAGCAGAUUGAGAUUCUGUGAGUUGCAGGUUCGAUUCCUGCAUCGUGCAC
rnacentral:tRNA from 2 species